rnacentral:rRNA from 1 species
GGGGAAUUUUGGACAAUGGGCGAAAGCCUGAUCCAGCCAUGCCGCGUGAGUGAAGAAGGCCUUCGGGUUGUAAAGCUCUUUCAGCCGGAAAGAAAUCGCGCAGGAUAAUACUCUGCGUGGAUGACGGUACCGGAAGAAGAAGCACCGGCUAAUUACGUGCCAGCAGCCGCGGUAAUACGUAGGGUGCGAGCGUUAAUCGGAAUUACUGGGCGUAAAGCGUGCGCAGGCGGUUAUGUAAGACAGAUGUGAAAUCCCCGGGCUCAACCUGGGAACUGCGUUUGUGACUGCAUAACUAGAGUACGGCAGAGGGAGGUGGAAUUCCGCGUGUAGCAGUGAAAUGCGUAGAUAUGCGUAGGAACACCGAUGGCGAAGGCAGCCUCCUGGGCCAGUACUGACGCUCAUGCACGAAAGCGUGGGGAGCAAAC